rnacentral:antisense_RNA from 1 species
UCCUAUGGGCGGGCCGUGUGGGAGGGCGCAAGCCCUGCCGGUGCCAACUACCGGUCUGCUAACCCGCACGGUUCCGCCCACCCGU